rnacentral:tRNA from 1 species
GCCUGGGUGGCUCAGUUGGUUGAGCAUCUGACUUCAGCUCAGGUCACGAUCUCAUGGUUUGUGGGUUCAAGUCCUGUCUCGGGGU